rnacentral:rRNA from 1 species
GACGAACGCUGGCGGCGUGCUUAACACAUGCAAGUCGAACGGUAAGGCCCUUCGGGGUACACGAGUGGCGAACGGGUGAGCAACACGUGGGUGAUCUGCCCUGCACUUCGGGAUAAGCCUGGGAAACUGGGUCUAAUACCGGAUAGGACCCUGGGAUGCAUGUCCUGGGGUGGAAAGCUUUUGCGGUGUGGGAUGGGCCCGCGGCCUAUCAGCUUGUUGGUGGGGUGAUGGCCUACCAAGGCGACGACGGGUAGCCGGCCUGAGAGGGUAACCGGCCACACUGGGACUGAGAUACGGCCCAGACUCCUGCGGGAGGCAGCAGUGGGGAAUAUUGCACAAUGGGCGCAAGCCUGAUGCAGCGACGCCGCGUGAGGGAUGACGGCCUUCGGGUUGUAAACCUCUUUCAGCACCGACGAAGCGCAAGUGACGGUAGGUGCAGAAGAAGGACCGGCCAACUACGUGCCAGCCGCCGCGGUAA